AAAACUUACCAGGUCAAGACAUGGGCGUGAUUGACAGGCUAAUGACUUUUCUCGAUUCCAUGGAUGGUGGUGCAUGGUCGCACUUAGUUGGUGCAGUGAUUUGUCAGGUUUAUUCCGGUAACGAACGAGACCUCGGCCUUGUAAAUAGCUAUGCUGCUUACAGGGACAUUGGCGGCUACGCCAAGGAAGCUCGAGGCAAUUGCAGAUCUGGAAUGCCCUUAGAUGUCCUGGGUCGCACGCGUGCUACAAUGACGCCACGAACGAGCUUGCGUGAUGAAAGUUACGCAUAAUCAGCAGUCGGCGUCUUAAGGGAUAGUCUCUUGUAACUGUGGGACUCCAACUAGGAAUGUCUCGUAAGCACAAGUCAACAUCUUGUGUUGAUUACGUCCCUGCUCUUUGUACACACCGCCCGUCGCUCCUACCGAUCGAGUGUUUAGGUGAAUUUGAUGGACGUAAGGAAGUCAAAUAAACCUGAGCACUAGAGAAGAGAAGUCGACAUU
rnacentral:rRNA from 1 species